rnacentral:rRNA from 1 species
AUGAUGGCCAGGCUGUCUCCACCCGAGACUCAGUGAAAUUGAACUCGCUGUGAAGAUGCAGUGUACCCGCGGCAAGACGGAAAGACCCCGUGAACCUUUACUAUAGCUUGACACUGAACAUUGAGCCUUGAUGUGUAGGAUAGGUGGGAGGCUUUGAAGUGUGGACGCCAGUCUGCAUGGAGCCGACCUUGAAAUACCACCCUUUAAUGUUUGAUGUUCUAACGUGGACCCGUUACCCGGGUUGCGGACAGUGUCUGGUGGGUAGUUUGACUGGGGCGGUCUCCUCCUAAAGAGUAACGGAGGAGCACGAAGGUUGGCUAAUCCUGGUCGGACAUCAGGAGGUUAGUGCAAUGGCAUAAGCCAGCUUGACUGCGAGCGUGACGGCGCGAGCAGGUGCGAAAGCAGGUCAUAGUGAUCCGGUGGUUCUGAAUGGAAGGGCCAUCGCUCAACGGAUAAAAGGUACUCCGGGGAUAACAGGCUGAUACCGCCCAAGAGUUCAUAUCGACGGCGGUGUUUGGCACCUCGAUGUCGGCUCAUCACAUC